rfam:Schistosoma mansoni, Puerto Rico, WGS project CABG01000000 data, contig: 0080
AUCCAACUGACGAGUCCAAAAUGGGACGAAAUGCGCUUCUUGUAU